rfam:Triticum aestivum genome assembly, contig: Triticum_aestivum_CS42_TGACv1_scaffold_159765_2DL
AACAUACUCCCUCCAUACGAAAAAGCUUGUCCCAAGCUUGUCCUUCAAAUGGAUGUGUUUAGCACUAACUUGAUGCUAGAUACAUCUAUUUGAGGGACAAGCUUUUUUGGACGGAGGGAGUAUGUG